UUACAGAACACGGGGGACACGGAGCGGACCGACUCUAGAUGCGUACGUCAACGCUGCUCGUUUAACAGAACGCAACGGACGCGGGACGGACUUGCUGCAGAACGGAGGUGUCGUCGCGGCUCGUUUAACAGCGCGGCGGCGGCGCGAUCGCGGCGUCGAUCUUGAUGCGUUGGCCGCGCGUGCGGAACGAAGCCGGCUCGCCAUCUUGAUCCGCAUUUACACGUCUGAUUGCGGAACGCGGCGAACGCAAGAUGAAUCGGAACCGAAACGAACGGCGACGCGACUCGUUUAACAGAACGCGGCGUACACAGCAAGAAACAUUUGGAACGAAUAGCGUUACGAUUCAUUUAAUUAAUCGUAUAGUAUCGUAUGUACUACAAUUUUAUUGCACAUCGUGGAAAUAUAAUCUGACGAUCUGACAACUUGGAAACAAAUUAGACUUAAGCAAGGUAUCGGGUUUUGAUGGAGAAACUUUGCGAUUCAUCCUAGCAACGUAUCUGAUAACUGUUGCGGAUCGAUCGAGGUAACGAAACUAUGAAAUAUAGCAAGCCAUUUUACUUUUUAAUAAUAUAAAAGAAAUGUUCU
rnacentral:lncRNA from 13 species